rnacentral:lncRNA from 1 species
ACAAGGAAAGGGAUCUAGAAGACCCAUGUAUCACCAACACCAGCUGUAGAUGUUCUGAAGAAGUUCACAGAGGUGGUACACACUGAAGAUGACUGGAACUGCUGUUAUAGGAGAGAGAAAGCACUGGCAACCCAGAAUGAGUCUUCGCUCACCCCUCUCUCCUAACAGGAAUUCUCAGCUCCUUCUCCAGCACCAUGUCUAUCUGCCUGCUGCCUUGCUUCCAACCAUGAUGAUAAUGGAUUAAACUUCUGAAACUUCGAGGGUGCGAGAUUUUACUGGCGGUGUUCCAGGAGUUGUCCUAAGGCGGCAGUCUGGCCUCAGGGCUGAGCAGGGAACUACCAGGUGUGUCCGGAAGGUGCCAACUCUUUCUACAAAGCAGGAGUCUUUUUCAUCACCAAAUGCAAAGCAGCCAGACGUUUUUUCACCCUCACCCCUCCAGUCCCCGGCCCCCCAUCUGGUGCCUGGAGGUGGGACGGGCUGGGAGGCAUUAACUCGCUCUCUGCUCUUUUACGGGACCCCAGAGGCGGCUGCGGUUCCUAGCAGAGCCACCCGGCCGGUCUGCACUAGACAGGCAAGCUUCAAGCUAAAUCAGGGUUUGCGCCAAGCCCAGGUUGGACUGGGGCAUCCGGGAAGCGGAGGGAGCUGGUCGAGGAACCCCAAGUGUGAGCGGUGGAGAGGCUG